GAUGAACGCUGGCGGCGUGCCUAACACAUGCAAGUCGAGCGAGAAACUUGGCACAGAAACUUCGGUGGACGAGUCAAGCGGAAAGCGGCGGACGGGUGAGUAACGCGUAGGCAACCUGCCCAUGACAGAGGGAUAGCCUCGGGAAACCGGGAUUAAAACCUCAUGAUGCCAAAUCAACACAUGUUGAUCUGGUCAAAGAUUUAUCGGUCAUGGAUGGGCCUGCGUCUGAUUAGUUAGUUGGUGAGGUAACGGCUCACCAAGGCAGCGAUCAGUAACCGACCUGAGAGGGUAAUCGGUCACAUUGGAACUGAGACACGGUCCAGACUCCUACGGGAGGCAGCAGUGGGGAGUAUUGCACAAUGGGGGAAACCCUGAUGCAGCAACGCCGCGUGAGCGAUGAAGGUUCUAUGAAUCGUAAAGCUCUGUCCUUGGGGAAGAAACAAAUGACGGUACCCAAGGAGGAAGCCCCGGCUAACUACGUGCCAGCAGCCGCCGUAAAAC
rnacentral:rRNA from 1 species